rnacentral:tRNA from 1 species
GGGGGUAUAGCUCAGUUGGCUAGAGCGUUACGUUGACAUCGUAAAGGUCGCUGGUUCGAAUCCAGCUACUCCCACCA